rnacentral:sRNA from 1 species
UGUCUUUGUAGAAAGAGAACUUCUGUCAGGAAAGAAUUUCUUACAUCACAGACUUGCUGAAGCAACCAGUCCUUAUUCAGGACUGCUUACAGUUCAGUUGGCCAACCGGAAUCUCUACAUCUUAACCAAUGAACCCAGCCCCUGGGUGAAAAUAACAGUAACCCACAAGUUGUUAGAAAGGGACUCUGAAUCUCCAGCUCCUGGAGACCUCUAGACUUGGGAAUACUUGUGGUUGGGCCUCCAAGUUUCCUAUGACUGCCUCUACCCUCUGUGAACUGCUCUUACAGAAGACCAGAGGGGACAGUCUCUGGAUCCAGAACUGCAGUCCUCCUGACGACAGUAAACAUGGGUAGUAAAUGACUGAACCAUACUGAGGAUUUGCUAGGAUCAGGGCUGUGAAACUGAGCAUCUAUUCUGACCCACCCUGGCCAUAGCUCUGCGAGGUAAGCACUGUCCUGAUCCACAUUUCACCUUACUGACAGAAGAGGUGCUGCAGACAUGACCAGAUAGAGUACUUACAGAGUACUUAUCACUUAGUGCCACAGCAUGCUAAAUGCUAUGCUUAUGUGAACUUACCCUCGCCACAAUUCCACAAGACAGGUGCUUUUGUGGUUCUAUUUUAGAGACUAGUGAAAAGCCAAAGAGCUACUGUGUGUUGCUCAGGCUUCCCCAGGCUUGAAUGCAGUGCUAGCAAGAGCUCCUGCUUAGGAGGGUGAACAUCAAGCCCCAAGUCAGGUCUCUAUCAGAAAGGGAAACUGACAGUGUCCAACAGGAUGUCCUAAGCCUAAACCCAGGGUCCCUCUUGUUCUGGUUGGGAAGGCUUCUAAAUUAUCCCCAAAGGCAUAUUUUAAAAGUCCUAUCCACAAACCAUUUCUAGAACCUGCUUUGGUCUGGCUUUUAGGAAGCCUUCAUGGGACUCUAGUGUAGCAUACACCGUAUUGGUAAGAGACCAAUUUGUAAGAGGACCCAUUACAUAGAGUUUACACAUGGCCCCAUGCCCACAGGUAGGUGGUUUUUUAUUAUUAAGAUGAUAAAUUAGUGAUGCAAGUCACUCCCUGCAAUAAUAUUAUAUGCUAGAAAUAAAGUGCACAUUAUUCAGAGUCCCUUGGUGUUAUCCUCAGGUCUCUUUUCUGUUUCUAUCUAGGGCACCACCCUAAUUUAGCUGCCGUGCCGCCUAAGUUCCUAUCACUGAGACUGUGUUUUCUUUAUGACCUUGACUGCUUUGGAGGUCACUAGUUGGGUAUAUUGUAGGGUUUAGCUGCUCUCUCUUGUCUAGGUUUAGCCGGAGAACUCCAGGGCUACUGGGAGGAAGGCCACAGAGUUGAUAAACAGCCAUCCUUAGAGCAGCUUAUCAAGGAGUGCCCAUAUUUGCAACAUGACUGAACACAGUUGAUACCGGCCUUGCUCUUUUGGCUAGGUCAGGGUUUGUCCCUUUUUGCCACCAAGGUCAUUUUUGUCCUCCCACUGUGUUGGACUCUUAAAGCAUUGAAUUAAGGGCCUGGAAACAGCUAGGUAACCAUGGGAACCCGAGUUUGGAUCUCCAACAACAAGAUCUCCUACUUUGAAAGUGAGAAUAAUAAUAACUUCCAACUACCUAUCUCAUCCGGGUACUGAAUGGAUUAAUAGGGUCAUGUUUGCAAAGUCCUGGGAAACUCUCAAGAAAGAAAACGUCCCUGCGCCUUGGCAACUUGGUGCAGUACCACAUUGAUAAAGGACAAGACGCAUGCCAAGUAUUAUGCUAAACACUCAGAGUGAAUGUGUGAAUAUGUCCCAUCAUUGCAAAAGCCCAGCAAGGUGGGUACCUUGAAGAGUCCCAUUUACAGAGCCAAAGUUUGGUGAGGUUAAAGAAGCCACCUAGAGUCACUCAGUGAUUUCAAGGAGAGCCUGGAUCCAGUCCUUACCUGACCCCGGAGUUCUGCUAUACGCACUGCUGUCUGACAGAAAAAAAAUACACAUCAUAUGUGUAUUUUAUGUUAUGUUUUACAUCUUUUAGUUCAGAGACAGUUAGCUCAUGAAGGCUUUGACUUAAUGAAUGGAUUAACUCUGGGUGGACAUUGUGGAGAAACUGUGAAUAGUUGUAAGUGGGGCUUAGUUGAAAGAAAGGGGUCACUUCGAAGGUACGUCUUUGGGGACUAUGUCACACUGUACUCCUUCUUGUAUUCUUCGGUUCCCCAUUUCCUUCCUGUUCACCAUGAUCUUACCGCUGUAAUGAUCUGGAGUACAUGGUGCAAACCCUCACAAACCAGGAAGUAAAGCAGAUCUGCUCUCCCUAAACUGUUCACACCAGGCACUAAGUCACACAGCCACGAGGGAAGUAAAGACCGUAUGCAAGACCGACAAAGGUAAUGAACUCCAAAGGCACAUUCAGGAUGUGCUGGAAGUUUAACAUUUAGAGUUUUGAUUUGCCAAAGAGUUUGCCCUCAAAGAGCCCAUUCCUGAAACCUUCUGCAGUCCAGACUUUGACUUCAUUAUAUAUGGCAUGUGUAAUUUACAUACGCUCUGAGCAAAUAAAUGAAUGUGUGAAUAUGUUCUCUUCCAGAGACGGAGAAAGACUCUUAGGCGAGGAAGAUGGUAAAUUCCAGAAGGGCAUGUAUUGUACCUGAUUUUUACCUAGGUUUGUAGACCUUCCUGGCACACUUAGCAUCUCCUCCCAUUCAGCUCUAAUGGUGUAUGCAUUAGUGUUCACUGGAUGUAGUUUCUUCCAGGCCGUGUUCUGCCUCGAGAUAAUGUGUUCACAACAUCAUAUUAAGGAAACCCCCUUGGUUAGUGUCUGUCUGGGAAGCUAGUCUGAGCCCUCAUUGACAGCCUCAUAGUAAGGAACCCCCUUAGUGCCUGUCUGUGAGGCUAGUCUGAGCCCUCAGAGGAAACAGGUAGCUUCCAUUUGACCCGAAACCUGAUUCUGCCUAUGGUAAUGUCCCCAAAACAAGCUAAUACGGCGAGAUCAUUUUCAGUUACAGACGUUAAAGCCAACUCAAACCAAUUUUGUGGUCUUAGCACAGCUGGACCCAUAAGGGCCAGGUUUCAUUUUCUCUACACAUCUGAAUAGACACACUAUGUUCACCUCUGAAGCUACCUUUCAUAUUGUAGUGUUUCUCAGUGCCUCGCUCAGGAUCUCUUAGUCUACAGUUAGCCUCAAAAUAGAGGUGGUUCCCAUCUGGUUAUUACUAUGCCCCAAACUACUGAGACAGUUCCCCCCCCCAAUGAGGCUUGAAUUGUGGGUCAAGCCUAAGUCAAAUGCUAAUGCCUUGAGCUUGAUGGAGUCCUCUCCCCCAGUCACCUGGCUGGGAGGAAGGGACUCUCUGGGAGCUCCAUUCAGGAGAGGGAGGAAUGAUGUGUGAAGUUGUCCAGGCUAGACUCUCUGUCUUCCUCACUAUCACAAUAAGUCACUUCUCACCCCCUGUUAGAAGCAAUAUAGCUUUGCACUGUUACCCACAUACCUCGCUGGGUGGCAUUAGAGAGUCUAUUCUCAUUGUCACUGUUAUGUGUGCCUGGUCAGUCACUUCACUUUGAGUCCUGGAGAUAACACUGCUCCAGUUCUCUGCAUCACCAGUAUUUACUGUUAUCCUCAUGUGUAGCAGAUAAAGGAUGAACAGCCUGUGAAUCAAGAUCCUACUUUGGGUGACACUGGUCAGAGCCAUAGGUACAGAUGAAGACUCUACACUGUGGGCAGUGACCUGUUUCAUGAAAGUGUGGCAAGCAGAAGCAAACUGAAGAUUAGUGUUCUGUGAUUCUACCACACACCUGAUGCCACAAGAACAUGGUCUAAUUCACUGUGGUGAAUACAUUGUCACGUGUAAGCAAGACACCCACGACUCUGGUUUGCCAGACAUCAGUAUUUGCCAUGUAUAGCCGCAAAGAAGAAGGCAUCAGAUGGACUGUCUUUCCAUUGCUCUUCUAGGGUAAUUGUCUCCCUUCAUUUCCUUCCUUUAUCCCUUUCAUCUCUCCUUUGAUCCUCUUGGUAUAGCCACCCCUCUCCUUCACUGUCCUCCUUUCCUUCUUUCCUCUUCACCUCCUUCUGGUUUUGACCGCUGCUUCAGCCCCAAGGAAUUGAGAGUCCUGAGUUACAGCUCUUGCAGUCCCUUAAGUGAGUUGCUUUCCUCGUUUCUUUCAGCUCUCUUUGCUCCCCUGAAAUGUCAGAAUGACCAAGCCUCUUGCUAACUUCAGUGGUUAGGGGUCAAAGACAUUCUGUAGGUAUAAUGUUCCUCACAGAUAAAGGUGUUUCUGGAUAAAAGUGGGAGACAAAUCUAUUUUUUAUUUCAUGGGU